rnacentral:rRNA from 1 species
UAGGGAAUCUUCGGCAAUGGACGAAAGUCUGACCGAGCAACGCCGCGUGAGUGAAGAAGGUUUUCGGAUCGUAAAACUCUGUUGUUAGAGAAGAACAAGGACGUUAGUAACUGAACGUCCCCUGACGGUAUCUAACCAGAAAGCCACGGCUAACUACGUGCCAGCAGCCGCGGUAAUACGUAGGUGGCAAGCGUUGUCCGGAUUUAUUGGGCGUAAAGCGAGCGCAGGCGGUUUCUUAAGUCUGAUGUGAAAUCCCCCGGCUCAACCGGGGAGGGGCAUUGGAAACUAGGAGACUUGAGUGCAGAAGAGGAGAGUGGAAUUCCAUGUGUAGCGGGGAAAUGCGUAGAUAUAUGGAGGAACACCAGUGGCGAAGGCGGCUCUCAGGUCGGUAACUGACGCUGAGGCUCGAAAGCGUGGGGAGCAAACAGG